rnacentral:rRNA from 1 species
GGUUGACCUCGGAUCAGGUAGGGAUACCCGCUGAACUUAASCAUAUCAWUAASCGRAGGAAAARAAACCAACRGGRAUUGCCUCAKUAACGGCRAGUGAASCGGCAACRGCUCAAAUUURAAAUCUGGYUCCUCUAGGGGUCCRAGUUGWAAUUUGUARAGRAKGCUUCGGGCAAGGCUGUGGUCUAAUUUGCUUGGAACAGCGAGUCAUAGAGGGUGAGAAUCCCGUCUAGGAUCGUAAGCCGCGUCCAUGUGAAGCUCCUUCGACRAGUCGAGUUGUUUGGGAAUGCAGCUCUAAAUGGGUGGUAAAUUUCAUCUAAAGCUAAAUAUUGGCCAGAGACCGAUAGCGCACAAGUAGAGUGAUCGAAAGAUGAAAAGCACUUUGAAAAGAGAGUUAAACAGUAUGUGAAAUUGUUGAAAGGGAAGCGCUUGCAAUCAGACUUGUGUCUGACGGUUCCCCCGGCCUUCUGGCCGAGCUACUCCGUCAUGUCCAGGCCAACAUCGGUCUGGGGGGUCGGUGAAAGACCCCGGGAAUGUAUCUACCUUCGGGUCGACUUAUAGCCCGGGGUGUAAUGCGGCCUCCCCGGACCGAGGAACGCGCUUCGGCUCGGAUGUUGGCGUAAUGGUUGUAAGCGGCCCGUCUUGAAACACGGACCAAGGAGUCUAACAUCUAUGCGAGUGUUUGGGUGUCAAACCCCUACGCGUAAUGAAAGUGAACGGAGGUAAGAACCCCGCAAGGGGCGCAUUAUCGACCGAUCCUGAUGUCUUCGGAUGGAUUUGAGUAAGAGCAUAGCUGUUGGGACCCGAAAGAUGGUGAACUAUGCAUGAAUAGGGUGAAGCCAGAGGAAACUCUGGUGGAGGCUCGCAGCGGUUCUGACGUGCAAAUCGAUCGUCAAAUUUGUGCAUAGGGGCGAAAGACCAAUCGAACCAUUAAAGAAUAAUGAAGUGGAGGGUUACCGGGUGGUUCUUGAACAGUCCUUUGGGGCUACAUCGUCCUUCUGGCGGGGAUCAAAACCUGCAGCAGCUGAAGAUCUUCGGCUGUUCACAGACUAGGAGAGCGGUGGUCAUCUUGAUCAAAAAGAUGAUGAUGAUAUAGUCGGUUCAUGGUUAAGAUCUUAACC